rnacentral:rRNA from 1 species
CUGAGACAGGUGCUGCAUGGCUGUCGUCAGCUCGUGUUGUGAAAUGUUGGGUUAAGUCCCGCAACGAGCGCAACCCUUAUCCUUUGUUGCCAGCGAUUCGGUCGGGAACUCAAAGGAGACUGCCGGUGAUAAACCGGAGGAAGGUGGGGAUGACGUCAAGUCAUCAUGGCCCUUACGAGUAGGGCUACACACGUGCUACAAUGGCGUAUACAAAGAGAAGCGACCUCGCGAGAGCAAGCGGAACUCAUAAAGUACGUCGUAGUCCGGAUUGGAGUCUGCAACUCGACGCCAUGAAGUCGGAAUCGCUAGUAAUCGUAGAUCAGAUUGCUACGGUGAAUACGUUCCCGGGCCUUGUACACACCGCCCGUCACACCAUGGGAGUGGGUUGCAAAAGAAGUAGGUAGCUUAACCUUCGGGAGGGCGCUUACCACUUUGUGAUUCAUGA